rnacentral:tRNA from 1 species
AUUGUUUACGGGAUCGAGGCCCGUGUAUCUAGU